rnacentral:tRNA from 1 species
GGGCCUAUAGCUCAACAGGAUAGAGCAUCGGAUUUCUAAUCCGGGGGUUGGGAGUUCGAGCCUCUCUAGGCCCGCCA